AUGUUUCAUAUAGUCAUUUAUGCUUUUUUUUAAAAAAAAUUUAUCAACUCUCUCACUAUGCAAAAAUUUUCCUAGCCUUAAUUCUAAUAUAGCAUGCCCUUCAACUACUAUGGAUUUUCCGUUGAUAAUAUUAGAGUAUUUUUCCUAGUGAUAGCAAGGAAACAGUCCUGAGGUUUCCUGGAAACAGACGUGGAUUAAAGGUCCAUUGCUGUCCAUACUGCAGUUAUUCCACAUCUAAUAGUGGCCAUUUAAAGACUCAUCUCAGGGUUCAUACUGGUGAAAAACCGUAUGCAUGUCGAUUUUGUAACAAGUGCUUCACGCAGAAGAAUGCACAAAGAGCUCAUGAAAUUACUCACUUAAAAAAAUAAUCUUAAAAUGUUUUGAAUUUAAAUUUUUGAUUUUCUCACCUUUUUCAUGUGUUAUAGGCUAACCAUUCCGCAUGUAUAUGUUUCUAUAUGUGUAUGAUCAUCAGUAGAUUUCAUCAUUAUAGAGUUUCUGAUAUGCAUCCCUAAAUAAUUUGUAUUAUAUAUUCAUUAACUGAUAGUAUUAGUUUUUUUUUCAUCUUUCAGAAAAGAAAUAUGGAAUUUGACUGUUGGUAUCAUUUCUUAUAUAAUAAUUUGGAAACUAAUGUACCUAGAAAGUCCUUUUCCAAAUUUUAAGCUGGCAACUUUUUCCCACGGAAAAGAGUAUCUCUUAUGUUGUUUUGUAAGAAAGUAGUGUAUAGCAAGGUAAAUUCUGCACAGUUUUGCCCACAAAUGCCAAAAUAUGGAUAACUGAUUUGUAAAUAAAUGUAUUUUUAUAGUAAAUAUAUAUUUUAAAUAAAUUUAUUAAGUUUUAAAGGAUGUAAUUAAUUGUUUUUUUGUGCAUUCCAUCAAUAUGUUUAAAUGAAAAACUUAUAAAUGUGUUUUCUGCAAAGGAUCAAAAUUAUGAUGGCAUAUCUUUGCAUCAUCCACAAGGAUAUCGCAAACUAUCACCAGUAGCCAAUUGUGCAGCUCUAUUGUGACACAAAUAAAGUACUAGUAAAUUCAAAAAAAUAAAUGUAGAAUUAUUGACUCUCUUAAUACUUAAUUGUAAGAUUGAGAAAUCAAUAUUUUUGUGUGUUUUCAAAAGAGCAAUGUAAAAGCUAUUGCUAUUUAUAAGUUUGUAAUUGCAUAACAAACCAUAUAAUCAAAUCCUUAUUGUCCUUAUCCAAUCCAAAUCCUUAUUAUUAUGUUUAUGAUUUAAAGGCAGUUAUUUUUGUUAAAAAUCAAAAGUAUUUUGUCAUCCAAAAUGUAUAAACUUUAUAAGUUGUAAAUAAAUUGUUUACAAAAUUUGAAGUAUAUACAGAUUUUCUUUUCUUAUUAACGUUUUAUAGUUUAACCAUAUAAGUAUGCUUUAUUUUAUGUAACAUGUUCUUUUUUUAAUUGUUAUUAAAUCUAAGUAUUAAGUCCUGUAUUUUUUUGUGUGUUUGUUUCCUGAAAUAUUAAAAAUUAUAUUUUUAAUACCAGUGCUACUAUUUGUUAUCUUGAAUGUGUUAAGAAUUUAAAUUUUCUUUCAGCUCUGAUAUAUGUGGCUGAUGGAUUUAGUGGGGAACGGAAACUUCAUAAGUGUUCUCAUUGUGGUUAUUCCACACGACGUAGCGACCACUUGAAGUUACAUCUUAGAACACACACUGGGGAAAAACCAUAUGCUUGCAAAUUUUGCUCCAAAUGCUUUUCACAGAAAAACAAUCUGAGAUCUCAUGAAAUAAUACACUGGACAAAAUAUUCUUAAAACACUGACUUGUUAAUAUUAAAGCAUUAUGUAUGCAAAUAAAUUUUUUUCUGUAACCCUUUAUCAAUCAUAAAGUAACUAUUUUUUCUCACUAUUUUAUUUUUUAGGAAAGCUUUAAAUAUUCUGUACCUUCUAAAUAAUGUAAGCAAUACAAACUUUGUUACUUUCAUCAAUCGUAAAAGUUUUACUUUUUUUUCUUUUUAUUUUUUUUGGUUUAUAGCAAAGUUUUUUUUGUUCUGUAUAUCAAAAAUUUUGGUACUUGUAUCUACUUUUUGAUCAUUGGUGUUUUUCGGUCUACUUUUUUAUCAUUAUUUAGUGCUUUAAAAUUACUUGCAUAUUUUAUUUAAGAUAGAUAUAAAUUUGGUCAUAAAUAAAUUAAGAAAAUAAUUCGGAACAUAAUAGAUAAUUUGGACAGGAAAAUAAUUUGGUCAUAAUAGUUUCUAAAUCUUAAGUUUGUAUCUUCUUUAGAUUUAUAGACUGGGUUUCCAUUUAUAUUUAUCUUGUUUGUAAUAAUAUUUAUAUAUCCAUUCUUAAAAUUUGAGUUUUAAAUAUGGCAUUAUUGUUUCACCUUAAAAUAUAUAUUCCAUAUUUUUGUUCAGUUAAGUAGCUUUUUAUUUUUUCUCUGUCAAAAAAAAUCUAAUUUUGUUCUAUGAAGUUUUGGAAAAAAGGGUUAUAUUUCCCAGAAAGAGUUAUCAUACAUUUAAAAUAUAAUAUUAAGUGGCAUGAAAGUUCUAUCAUUUCUAAUUAAAUCUGUGUACUGUAUUUGCAUAACAUCGUUUUUGUUUACACAUUUUUUAGUAAUAGCAGUGUGAAAACACUAACAUUUUAAAACAAUUUUUUUAGCAGUUCUAAAAAAAUUGAAUAGACUCAUGUUUAUCAUCAGAAAUGUAAAACUUAUUCUCUUAAAUUAUAUUGAAUAAAGUGUUCAAAAAAUUA